UUGGGUACUUCCUCUCCCUUGGGGUAAAGAAGUACCAUUCAUUCUCUCCAAAGUCUGUUUUCUCUGUAUUUCACAAGAAUUUGACAUGUCAGAACAACAGAAACAUGCACAUGCACAUAUUACAACAGGGUCAAAUACAGGGCAUGGUUUUGAUGUGGCUUGGUUAGAAAGGUAGUACACGAUUAGUUCCUCAUCAGUGGGGUGAAACCUGAAGCCAGGUGGGAGCACAGAGCUUGUUCUGCCCUCCAUUGAGCAGAGUGAAAACCAAGAUUGAAUGGGAAACUAUGGAAAAUGGUUUAUUUGCUGUUACAGGGACGAAAGAGAAGGGAAAGAAGGAUCGAAAGAAGAAAAUUGAAAACAAGGGUUACAGAGAAAUCAAGGUGUUUGAAAUGUUUGCAAUGAAGUGGAUGCCCCUUUUAUCUUUGAUUUCUUGUCGUUUCUGGUGGCGCUGCAUGGCUUUGAUUGGUUCCUAAGGCGACUUUUCUACACAUUACUGCAUGCGUCACCUUACCCACCAGAUUCCUUAUUUAUUUAAUUAUAUAAGUUUCUCAAA